rnacentral:misc_RNA from 1 species
CCGGGGCUAUCAGCAACAUCACCAGAAAACCUAGCUUCUCCUCGGUUCUCCUCGAUUGUAUUCGAAUUUGUUACUACUUCUCUAUCGCUUUUUACAACAGAUAUCAUUGCAAGAACUAGAGCAAAUUCGAAACCCUAGAAAUCUAUUAUUUUAAAGGCUCGAAUACAGAUUAGGCAUACCCUGUUUUGUCGCCUGGUGAGAGCAAUUUGGUUUGUUUGUUUCGUAAGAAAGUG